rnacentral:rRNA from 1 species
CAUGAAGUCGGAAUUGCUAGUAAUGGCAGGUCAGCAUACUGCCGUGAAUACGUUCCUGGGCCUUGUACACACCGCCCGUCACACCAUGAGAGUUGGGAAUACCCGAAGCCUGUGAGCCAACAAACGAGGCAGCAGUCGAAGGUAGAAUCAAUGAUUGGGGUGAAGUCGUAACAAGGUAUC